rnacentral:rRNA from 1 species
UUUCGCAAUGCCCGAAAGGGUGACGAAGCGACGCCGCGUGUGGGAAGAAGGCCUUCGGGUUGUAAACCACUGUCGGGAGUUAAGAAAUGCAAGGAUAUUAAUAGUGUCUUUGUUUGACUAAGGCUCCGGAGGAAGCCACGGCUAACUCUGUGCCAGCAGCCGCGGUAAUACAGAGGCGGCAAGCGUUGUUCGGAAUUAUUGGGCGUAAAGAGCACGUAGGCGGCUAUAUAAGUCGGUUGUGAAAGCCUUCCGCUCAACGGGAGAACAGCAUCCGAUACUGUGUGGCUUGAGUGUGGGAGGGGAGAGCGGAACUUCUGGUGGAGCGGUGAAAUGCGUAGAUAUCAGAAGGAACGCCGGCGGCGAAAGCGGCUCUCUGGCCCAUAACUGACGCUGAGUGUGCGAAAGCUAGGGGAGCAAACGGGAUUAGAUACCCCGGUAGUCCUAGCCGUAAACGAUGGGCACUAAGUAGAGGGGUUUU